rfam:Musa acuminata subsp. malaccensis Doubled-haploid Pahang (DH-Pahang) genomic chromosome, chr4
AUCUCUUGGAAGACAUACUAUAAAAUUAAAAUAAUACUUAAAGAAAUUAGCAUGGUCUUUGUGUAAAGGUGACAUACACAAAUUAAGAAAAGGUGCCAUUUUUU